rnacentral:sRNA from 1 species
UCAUCAUCAUCGUCCUAAAUAGUCUUUCAGGAUGGUGAGCUGGAAGACUGAUUUCUUCCGGCGGGCAGAUCAAAAAGUUGCUAAACCCUUGGAAGAAAAUCACUUCCAGGGGUUUUAAU